GCGGGCGUAGUUCAGUGGCAGAAUGAAUGCUUCCCAAGCAUUAGAUGCGGGUUCGAUUCCCGCCGCCCGCA
rfam:Candidatus Kaiserbacteria bacterium RIFCSPHIGHO2_02_FTLL_55_25 rifcsphigho2_02_scaffold_6194, whole genome shotgun sequence.